UAUGGUGAUGGAGUGUCAAUGUAGAUAAGUUAUCCUCACAAUCGCCCAUAGCAGCGUACAACACACCGAAUUUAGGGCAAUCCUUUAUCUUCUCCUUCUUCUCUACUUUUUCAAAAAUCUAUACCUUCAACAUAAAGCAACUCUCUCUCUCCCUUAUAUGCAAUAAAUUUUAAUUUUUGAAUUCUCCAAACAGGGCAAAAGGAAAACAAACAAAAAGCCUAGAUAGAGGCUUUAAUAUUGUUGGGUAGAUAAUUCUACCUCACGUCUUUAUCCAUUUGCCUUGUUUUUUUCAUUCUAAUAUGAUGAGAAGGCAACAGGAUCAACAAUCUAAGGUUUUAGAACAACUUUCUUCUUUGAUUUUAAAUAUUAUACGAUCACCACCGGCGCCGAUUGAGUUUUACGAUGAUUCCUCAAUGUCUCCAUCCUCUUCAGGGAGGAGGAUGGCUGUCGCUGGGUCGAUGCACCAAAUUACUCCGGCCGGAUUUGCAUCUCUGCUUUUGGGAAUAUCCUUUGCUUUGAUGCUUUGUGGAUCCGUCACUUUCUUUAUUGGCUUUUUAAUGAUGCCAUGGGUGCUUGCUUUGAUUAUGCUCUUUUAUGUUGCUGGAAUUGUUUACAGUUUGACUAUGAUUGGACGAGCUAUUUUCUCUCAUUUAUCUUCUCCCUCCUCACCAAGAAAAGAUUUUCACCGACACCGUAUUGCUUGAUAUUUUCACAUGGCUUAUGCAGAAAUAGUUGGAAGUAUAUCGCUAAUAGACACAAGACUGGAAACUUUUCUGAAGCAAUUUAAACACUUGAAUGGUGAUUGAUUGUUUACUACGUCAUAAGAUGGAAGCUUCCCGGCAAUGUUUAGAGAAUGGAUGCAGGAAUGUCGAUAUUAAUGAAAUGAGGAUAUUGGAAGGUGAUCUUUCGUAGUGGAGCAGGGAAUAACUUGAGGAUGGAUGUAUAUUUUUAGUUAUUACGUAGAGAGAAGGAAGCUCAAAAUUUCUGUGCCUUGAUGUUUUCCUAUCUCAGUACACUAUUCCUUGAGAGAUGUAGAAACAGUAGUUCAUUGUUUCAUCCAUGAAGUAACAUUAUCCUUGUGAAUAUUUCCUCAAUGUAUGGACGAACACGUUACAUGUCUAUGGGAAAAUAUAGUGAAUGACAUUGCUCUGAAUUUGACAACUGCAA